rnacentral:misc_RNA from 1 species
AGCUUGAUCGGUUUGUGACCAAUUGGAAGAAGAUGGUGAGCAAAACCAAGAGGCAAGCCUUGAUGAACAAUUUGGGACCACCAUCCGCCAGUGCUGCAGCUUCAGCUGCAACUACAUCCGUUGCCGAAGCAGAUGGGCCUACUACUAGUGAGAAAAACGAUUCCUUCAAAAAGGCCAAGAAGGGUGAUGUUGGUGAAGAGGAUGUAGAGAUAGAGGAUGAUGAACCAGCUACCCAUUUUCCUCCCGUAGAAAUUGAGAAGGAUGAAGGUGGUGGGCGGGAUCAAGAGAAUGGUGGUGGUGGUGGUAGUAGUAGCUCUAGUAGUUCUAGUAGCUCAAGCAGUGGCUCCUCCUCUUCUAGUGAUUCUGAUUCAGGAAGUUCAUCCGGAAGUGACUCUGAUGCUGAUGAUGCACACUCUUGAGAUUUGUUGAUUCAAGCAGUGCAUAGGCUGUUGCUGAAUUUUCUUUUAUCGAGGUAUAAAGUUGGGGACUCGAAUUCUGAUAAGUUGGGGAAAACCAGCUGUUUGUAAACACAUGGGCAACCUAGGAAGAAAAAUUGAUCUGCUUAUAUGACAUAGGCAAAAUCAAAAAGCUCAGGGAACUUUGUAGUGUUGAUGGCAGAGAAGUUAUGGCGUUAGGGAUCACAAUUUUAGGAAUUUUAGAGAUGGUCCCUCUGUUAAUGAGAGUGAGAUAUGUAGAUAGAUAGUUGAGGAGAAGACACCUUUUGUACAGUUGGUUUACACUAAAUAUUUGAUUUUUCUU